ensembl:snRNA U2 U2 spliceosomal RNA
AUCACUUCUCGGCCUUUUGACUAAGAUCAAGUGUAGUAUCUGUUCUUAUAAGUUUACAGAUAAAGAACACAAACCAGGACAAAUACAUAAAUACCCUACAGAAGAACAUUGUUUUCCUCAUGUUUUCCAUUGGUUAACAUAUCCGGCAGGAAGUUAAAUUUCAUUUUCUUUUCUGUGUCACAGAACAUGUU